AAAGAUGCAAUGAAUUCACAUAUUACAAAAAGUAAUCGUGUUUUGAUAGAUGCUUUUUGUGAUAUGUGUUUUUUUAUGAAUGUGAUUUUAUUUAAUUUGAUUAAUGGAGGUCAUUUACAUGACACAAGGUACAGUAAAAUGGUUUAACGCAGAAAAAGGUUUUGGUUUCAUCGAAGUUGAAGGCGGACAAGACGUAUUCGCUCACUUCUCAGCUAUUCAAGGUGAAGGUUUCAAAUCACUUGAAGAAGGUCAAAAAGUUGAAUUCACAGUAGAAGAAGGUCAACGCGGACCACAAGCUGCUAACAUCGUAAAACUUUAAUUUUUAAUGAAACAUACCACUCUUAAUUGAGUAGUAUCAGACUGCUGACAAACUCAAAUUUGAUGUUUGUCAGCAGUCUUUUU
rnacentral:other from 1 species